GGGUCAGUAGGUUGGUCGUGCCACCGGUACGUACUGGUCUCACUGAUCCCUCCUUCCUGAAGAACCGUAAUGCCAUUAAUUUGGUGUUGCGGGGAAACAGGGCUGUUACUUUGAAAAAAUUAGAGUGUUUAAAGCAAGCUAACGCUUGAAUACAUUAGCAUGGAAUAAUGAAAUAGGACGAUCGAUCCUAUUUUGUUGGUUUCUAGGAUUGACGUA
rnacentral:rRNA from 1 species